CCCACUGCUAUCGAGGUGGGACUAAGCCAUGCUAGUCGAACGACCCGAACUAUGUCGGGUAGUGGCAUACUGCUCAGUAACACAUAGCUAACUUUCCCUUAGGACGGGAGCAACCCCGGGAAACUGGGGUUAAUGCCCGAUAGGUGUGGAGGCCUGGAAUGGUUCCACACUGAAAAGUACUUUGUACAUGUUCAUGGUAUGCCUAAGGAUGGGGCUGUGGCCGAUCAGGCUGUUGGUGAGGUAAUGGCUCACCAAACCUUUGACCGGUACGGGCCAUGAGAGUGGUAGCCCGGAGAUGGGUACUGAGACAAGGACCCAGGCCCUACGGGGCGCAGCAGUCGCGAAAACUCCGCAAUGCACGAAAGUGUGACGGGGCUACCCCGAGUGCUCUCCGCUGAGGAAAGCUUUUCUCUGGUGUAACAAGCCAGGGGAAUAAGGAGAGGGCAAGACUGGUGUCAGCCGCCGCGGUAAUACCAGCUCUCCGAGUGGUAGGGAUGAUUAUUGGGCUUAAAGCGUCCGUAGCCGGCUUAGCAAGUCUCCUGUUAAAUUCAGCGACCUAAUCGUUGAGCCGCGGGAGAUACUACUAGGCUAGGAGGCGGGAGAGGUCAACGGUACUUCCGGGGUAGGGGUGAAAUCCUAUAAUCCCGGGAGGACCACCAGUGGCGAAGGCUGUUGACUAGAACGCGCUCGACGGUGAAGGACGAAAGCUGGGGGAGCGAACCGGAUUAGAUACCCGGGUAGUCCCAGCUGUAAACGAUGCGAGCUAGGUGU
rnacentral:rRNA from 1 species